AUAAGAAACUUUAUUAGGCCCAUCAGUGAAAGAGAACCUUUUGCUAUAAACCAUCCAAUUGACGGGAACACCUUAAAGCUAUUUCAACUAAAUGUAUUAGGUAACUAAAUACAUGGCCCAGGUAAUGACUCGGGGUAUAGUAAAAUCGAAAUAGAUGUAUGAAAAGAAAUAGGCGACCCGCAGCCAAGUACCUAUUAUCUUAGGUAUGCAGUUCAUCGACUAAACGGUGGUUGGCAUAAAAUUUUUUCAAUUUUAUGCUUAAGAUAUAGUCAGACCCUGCUUGAGAAAGUACA
rfam:Stemphylium lycopersici strain CIDEFI 216 C29510, whole genome shotgun sequence.